CUGCGCUGGACCACGGCUAUCCACUGUGCUGUACCAGUCAAAUUCGGGCCAAGCGGCUAAUGUGGGAUGGAAAGACUCGUUCUCCCACCCCGGCUCAAAGAAGCCUAGAAGCCCACAUGUUACUAGGGGAGGGGAGGGGAGGAGAAAUUACUAGGGGAAGAUCUGACGAACCAAUCGGCCGAUGAUUUUCCCUCUUGUUGGCCAAGAACCCAAGCAGUGCUCUCUCGAGUUGCCGAUUGCUCUUGCUCGCAGCCACCACGGACCGGAGGAGAGAGGAUUCGUGAUUGUAUAUGUAGAGGAGAACCAACCAUAUUUGGCUCUUUACUCCCUUCCUAGCUGAUGGGUAUGGGAGGAACCCUUCCAGAUUCGCCUCCUGGAUCCGAUUCCUCCCUAAGUGACGAGUUCUCCUAGGUUGCCCUCAGGGGACAAGGCGAUGGGGCUAGGGAAGGGGGUUGCUGGAAUGGAUUGUCACCUAUGGGCUUAGAGAAGGAGGUCCGGGGGAGGUAGGGCGGCCUAGCGGUGCUUGCGGGCGGCGGUGGCGAAUCCGGCGGCGUUGGCGGAGGCUGGGGGGGAGGACGCUGGGAAUGGCGGAGGCGGGUGGAGGCAGGAGCGGACGGGGGAAGAAGGUGAUGCUGGAGCCGUAAGAUCUAUGACAGCCCAGAUUUUGGUUGUUUUUCCAACCAGUUGGACUAUAGCAUGACCUUAUAAAAAAAAAUCCCAGUUUAUCAACGUUUACGUCGCUCAUAACAUCAGUUGCGUGACGAGAUCGGUUUCUGAAACUUUGAGGCCUUUUAGCCAUUGUAUUAUGUGUUUUUACCUGUGCUCGGUUCCAGAAGAUCUCUAAUUCUGACA